rnacentral:lncRNA from 1 species
AGCAAAAUCAGGUGCAGGUAAUGAUAAAGCUCUCUCUUAGUUGUUGUUCUUUUGCACAUGCACCAAAUUUGUUUGCACCAAAUUUGUUUACUGCAUCGUUCAGCAGUUUCAAUGUUCUGCAACAGGAAACCAAAGUUCGGAGAGGUUCAGUAACUUGCCUGUGGUUGCAGUGAAUUCAGGGUAGAGGUGGGAUGAACACCCCAUCUGGCUGAAGCCAAAGUUAUAGUCCCAGGUUCCUGGCUGAUUCAGCCUCGGAAAUUUCUCCUCUUCCAGGUGAACCUCCUGGGCCCUUCCGUUUCUGCCUCCCCCACUUCCUGCCUUAGCUUCAUUUCCAUGAAAAGCAAGAUAAAUUAAUUAUGUGCUAAUGAGUCUUCAGCAGCAGAAAAUGAGUAGGUGGCUAUGACAACGUGCUAGGAGAGUCUGUGUCUUCCGCCACUGGGGUGAGAUUCCGGGACACGACACAGGAAGGGCAGUGCUGGUUGGUGAACAUUUCUAUUGAGGCCUUCUGAUUUUGCCUGCUGUCAGGGUGAAAAGAAAACCUUCCCUGGGGCAGGGGCACUGUUGCUGAACCUCCUUCUCACUCCAGAUUCCAGAGAGUAGAACAGACCAUCCUCCUGCGUUAUGGGCCCCAGGGCUGUUUGAAGUCUAAAGUCCCUGAUAGGAGGAUGCCAGAAAAUGCAUUCAUGUGCCCAACUCACAUGUAAGGCCAAACAAACUGAAAUGUUGGAGUUUGGAGCAGAGAAAGUUUUAUUUCAGGGCCGUGCAAGAAGAGGGGUAGCUCAUGCCCCCAAACUCCAAACUUCCUGAAAGUUUUCAGCAAAGCAUUUUUUUUUUCCUUCCUGCACCUGCAGCAUACAGAAGUGCCCAGGCCAGGGACUGAACUUGGCCAUAGUAGUGACCUGAGCCACAGCAGUGACAACAUUGGUUCCCUUAACCACUAGGCCACCAGGAAACUCCCAGCAAAACAUUUUAAAGGGUCAUCAAAUAGUUAACAUCUUCCAUUUGGUGGAGGGUUUUCACAUCUAUAAAACAACUCAGGAAAUGUGCAUCAGAUACUGUUAUCUAGGUACUUAUGUAAGAUACCCAGGGAAGGGUCCAUAGGGUCCCGCUCAGUUAGAAGGACACAGGGUGUCAUAGCUAUAAGGGAAGAAAAGUCACCUCAGGAGUCAGGUCAGCCCCCAAAGCACUUUGGACUUCCCAUCUCCUUAAAUUCAGAAUUUUCACAGAAUGUCCCACUGACCACAAGCCCGGGUAGGAACUGAGCAUCUUGAGUCUCUCUAGGCUUCCUCCUGUCCUGGCAAAAGGACUUUCUGGGAAAUACUUGAUGUUGGGCCUGUGACCUGGGUUCUGCUCCAGCAAGUUCCCCGAGGGGAGGGAAAGGGAGCAUUUCUCUACUUGGCUCUGUGUUAAUUAGGAAAAGGGAAAUGGCCACCCAGAACAGGUGCUGCUCUUCAGGGGACUGCAACGCUUGUUCUUAAAAAGGAAAUUGGUACAAAUGAGCUUAAAUGAAGCAGAAUUAAGGUUGGCAGGGAGCACUGGCAGUGGCUGGCAGGUGAACAGGGCGGAAAGGGUGAGCGAACAAAGAUGGAGCCCAUAUGUGGGGGAGGGGUGGUGUCCGCUCUUCAGGGCAGGGGGAGCAGAACAUCAGCUGUUAGGGCAGAGGAGGCCUAAGCAACCGUGGCUGAAGCUGUGGGCUGGAAUCUGCACCAGGGAAUCUCAAUUCAAUUCUAUAGAAAUUGGGGGCCUAUGGGGCAGCAGGUACCAUCUCUAGGCGCUGAGGUUUCAGCAGUGAAUCCAGGCUCUGAGCCCUGAGUGGUGCGUGUGUGUGAAUGUUCCAAAGGGAUGGGGGAAGAGGGGAGAGACAAUAAAUACGAUUUCAUUUUGUGGUAAUAGCUGUGAAAGCGCUGAAACAGGGAGAUGCGUGUGUGCCUGUGUGCGACAUAUGAACUCUUUAGCAUGGGUAGUCAGGGAGGCCCCUGUGAAGAAGGGGACACUGGGAUGGGUCAUUAAGGACAAACUGCUUCCUCCCUUCUGAGGUAAAGGAAAUAGUCAGUGCUGCACUAUCAGACAACAAAAUUCUUACCUUUCAACUAUAUGAAACAAUAGUUCUUUCUAAUCCUGAGAAGUCCACAACUAAACCUUAUUUGUGGUGAGGGAAACAAUUAAAUUUGUGUGUGUAUAUACAUACGUAUAUUUUUCUUUUAUGGCCACACCUGCAGCAUAAUGAAGUUCCUGGGCUAGGGACUGAAUCCAAGCCACAGCUGUGACCUAUGCCACAGCUGAGACAAUGCUGGAUCCUUAACCCACUGCACCAGGUCGGGGAUUGAACCUGCAACUCUGCAGCUACCUGAGCCGCUGCAGUCGGAUUUCUUAACCCAUUGUGCCACAGCAGGAACUCCAGUUGUUUUUUUUUUUCUGAUUGCCUACAACAUAUGGAAUUCCCAAGCCAGGGAUCAGAUGAAAGCCACAGUUGCAACCUAUGCCACAGCUGGGGCAAUGCCGGAUCCUUAACCCACUGUGCCAGCUCAGAGAUCAAAUUUGUGCCCCAGCACUCCAUGGGUGUGGCCAAUCCCACUGCAGCAAGUGGGAACUCCCCCAGGUUUUUUUUGUUAAUGGCCCAACCCAUGGUAUAUGAAAGUUCUUGGGUCAGGGAUCAAAUCUGAGCUGCCACAGAGAUAACACUGAAUCCCUAACCUACCACACCAGAGCAGAAACUCCUACACUGACUGAUUUUUUGAAUGUUGAACCUGUCUUGCACAUAAGUUCCAUUAGGUUAUAGUAUAUAAUUGUUUAUAUACAUUUGGUAAAUUAGAUUUGCUAAGAUUUUGUUGAGGAUUUUUGCAUCUAUAUUUUUCCUUGUGAUAUGCCAAUUGUUCAUAUAUUACGCCUUUUGAAAUUGCCCCAGAUAUUCUGUUCUUCUCCCUCCCCCUCCAUUCU